CAGACCUUCAGAGACAAUAUUCAAUAUAUUUUUAUAUUAAUAGUAAACUGUAAUAAAAAAUCCCAUUUAAACUCAUAAAGCACCUCAAUUUUAAUAUUAUUAUGAUUAUUUAAAUCAUAUAAUGAAAAAGUUGUAGCUUAUUUGAAAAAGUUUAAGUUGCAUACUUGAAAUUUUUUAAUACAAAUCAAAACAUUAAACAAAAAAUAUUAAUAAGAGUAAUAUAUUUUUAGAUUUAUUAAAAAUAAAUGAAGGUGGAAAUUAUAUGAUAAGUAACUGUUGAUUAUGCCCUUCUUUAGAAAACGUAUUU
rnacentral:lncRNA from 1 species